rnacentral:tRNA from 1 species
GUGAGUGUAGUUUAACUAAGACGUCGGAUUGUGAUUCCAAAGAUGAGGGUUAGAUUCCCCCCACCCACC